rnacentral:piRNA from 1 species
UAGGUGAACCCGCCAAGUAGGCUGGAGGUA